AUUGAACGCUGGCGGCAGGCCUAACACAUGCAAGUCGAACGAGUGGCGGACGGGUGAGUAAUGUCUGGGAAACUGCCUGAUGGAGGGGGAUAACUACUGGAAACGGUAGCUAAUACCGCAAACCAUCAGAUGUGCCCAGAUUGGAUUAGCUAGUUGGUGGGGUAACGGCUCACCAAGGCGACGAUCCCUAGCUGGCCUGAGAGGAUGACCAGCCAAACUGGAACUGGGACACGGUCCAGACUCCUACGGGAGGCAGCAGUGGGGAAUAUUGGACAAUGGGCGCAGGCCUGAUGCAGACAUGCCGGGUGUAUGAAGAAGGCCUUCGGGUUGUAAAGUACUUUCAGCGGGGAGGCGUUAACUGAAGAAGAAGCACCGGCUAACUCCGUGCCAGCAGCCGCGGUAAUAC
rnacentral:rRNA from 1 species